AUUGAACGCUGGCGGCAUGCCUUACACAUGCAAGUCGAACGGCAGCACGGACUUCGGUCUGGUGGCGAGUGGCGAACGGGUGAGUAAUAUAUCGGAACAUACCUUGUAGUGGGGGAUAACUAUCCGAAAGGAUAGCUAAUACCGCAUACGCUCUAAGGAGGAAAGCGGGGGAUCGUAAGACCUCGUGCUAUAAGAGUGGCCGAUAUCUGAUUAGCUAGUUGGUGAGGUAAAGGCUCACCAAGGCGACGAUCAGUAGCUGGUCUGAGAGGACGACCAGCCACACUGGAACUGAGACACGGUCCAGACUCCUACGGGAGGCAGCAGUGGGGAAUUUUGGACAAUGGGGGCAACCCUGAUCCAGCAAUGCCGCGUGAGUGAAGAAGGCCUUCGGGUUGUAAAGCUCUUUUGUCAGGGAAGAAACGGUUGUGGCUAAUAUCCAUGGCUAAUGACGGUACCUGAAGAAUAAGCACCGGCUAACUACGUGCCAGCAGCCGCGGUAAUAC
rnacentral:rRNA from 1 species